rnacentral:rRNA from 1 species
GAUGAACGCUGGCGGCGUGCCUAAUACAUGCAAGUCGAGCGAACAGACGAGGAGCUUGCUCCUCUGACGUUAGCGGCGGACGGGUGAGUAACACGUGGAUAGCCUACCUAUAAGACUGGGAUAACUUCGGGAAACCGGAGCUAAUACCGGAUAAUAUAUUGAACCGCAUGGUUCAAUAGUGAAAGACGGUUUUGCUGUCACUUAUAGAUGGAUCCGCGCCGCAUUAGCUAGUUGGUAAGGUAACGGCUUACCAAGGGGACAAUGCGUAGCCAACCUGAGAGGGGGAUCGGCCAAAAGGGAACUGAAACACGGUCCAGACCCCGACGGGAGGCAGCAGUGGGGAAUCUUCCGAAAGGGGCGAAAGCCUGACGGAGAAACGCCGGGGGGGUGAUGAAGGUCUUCGGAUCGUAAAACUCUUUUAUUAGGAAAAAAAAAAUGUGUAAGUAACUAUGCCCGUUUGGACGGUACCUAAACAAAAAGCCCCGGCUAACUACGU